GACGUAGGGUGCAAGCGUUAAUCGGAAUUACUGGGCGUAAAGCGUGCGCAGGCGGUUGUGUAAGACAGGCGUGAAAUCCCCGGGCUCAACCUGGGAAUGGCGCUUGUGACUGCACAGCUCGAGUGCGGCAGAGGGGGAUGGAAUUCCGCGUGUAGCAGUGAAAUGCGUAGAUAUGCGGAGGAACACCAAUGGCGAAGGCAAUCCCCUGGGCCUGCACUGACGCUCAUGCACGAACGCGUGGGGAGCAAACAGG
rnacentral:rRNA from 1 species